AAGUCAUGUUAAGGGAAAUUUCGUAACAUACCCUUAUAACGCUCCCAUGCCUUGUAUUACGACUCCCUAUCGAAUUGUUGAAAAUUUUGUAUAUUUUUCUUCAAUUU